UACGUAGGGUGCGAGCGUUGUCCGGAAUUAUUGGGCGUAAAGAGCUCGUAGGCGGUUUGUUGCGUCGGCUGUGAAAUCCCGAGGCUCAACCUCGGGUCUGCAGUCGAUACGAGCAAACUAGAGUGUUGCAGGGGAGACUGGAAUUCCUGGUGUAGCGGUGAAAUGCGCAGAUAUCAGGAGGAACACCGGUGGCGAAGGCGGGUCUCUGGGCCGUAACUGACGCUGAGGAGCGAAAGCAUGGGGAGCGAACAGG
rnacentral:rRNA from 1 species